UCCCAAAGAACUCGAAGGGCUUAUCGUUCGUGCAAAUUAAAAUCGUAAGACUUGUAAAUAAAUAUUAAUUGGUUUGGAUGCAAGAAACAACAAGUAAACAUGCAAAUGCGAUUGAUUCAAUUGACGAGAAGAAGACUAUGGAUGAAUGGAGCUGUUGGGGUUUACAAUUUCAUCUUAUCCACUCUCUCUUAUCUACUCCUCUUAUUUGAUUCGCUUUGUUAUUUAACUGUUAUGCAAACUUUCUUAGUCUACCCUUAACCCGAUCCCUCGGCGAAAAGAGCCUAUCACUAAUUACUUGCUUGUUAUCCCUAGCCUCCCCUAGUAAUUAAUAAUGCAUGAUAAACGGAAGCAAAAACAAUUG
rnacentral:lncRNA from 1 species